CUGCCUUAGACAAAAGAAGCGCUUGGAGUCCCACCACACCUAAAACCACGCUUUGAAGGAUCUGCCAAGCUCACUUUUAAUCAUGAGAAAGAAAUUACCCACAUGGAGACAGCAGAAAAUGAGAAAGUAGAGAUCGUGCUGCGAAUAAUUCCAGCGAGUGCCAAGGGGCUAGUUGAGGAAUGGCUUCAUGAGG
ensembl:misc_RNA Gm27999 predicted gene, 27999